AGCAGCCGCGGUAAUUCCAGCUCCAAUAGCGUAUAUUAAAGUUGUUGCAGUUAAAAAGCUCGUAGUUGAAUUUCGGAGUUUGUCGGUUGGUCGGGCUUCACUGUCCGCACUGGCCUGAUGGAUUCCUACCUUCUGAAUAACCAGCAUGCUAUUAAUUUAGUGCGUUGGGGAAGCAGAGCUAUUACCUUGAAAAAAUUAGAGUGCUUAAAGCAGGCUUAUGCUUGAAUAGAUUAGCAUGGAAUAAUAAAAUAGGACGGCAUGGUUCUAUUUUGUUGGUUUCUAGGAUCACCGUAAUGAUUAAUAGGGAUAGUUGGGGGCAUUAGUAUUCAAUUGUCAGAGGUGAAAUUCUUGGAUUUAUUGAAGACUAACUUCUGCGAAAGCAUUUGCCAAGGAUGUUUUCAUUAAUCAAGAACGAAAGUUAGGGGAUCGAAGACGAUCAGAUACCGUCGU
rnacentral:rRNA from 1 species